UAUUACUCUUCUAUAUAACAAAGCAAAAAACAAACCAAAAAAGUGACAAGAUCAAAGUAUAGUACACACAUUUUACUUUCUCUUAGAAAAAAUAAAAUGGAGUUACCCAUGGGUGAAGGAUUAAGAAGCAGAUCAUCAGGUUUAAAACCAAUAGAAACAAAGAGGAAAGGGGGAAUCGAAGAGUACGAUAUGGUGACCGUGGAAGACGAGCCAUUGAGUCCAAUGGCUCGUCUUCUCCAAGAUAGGAGGUUCGAUGUCCAUGCCGUUGCGUUUAUGGCUUACAAAACUCGAAUCUCACCACAGCCUGUGAAGGAAAAGUUGGUGCAUACUUUGCUUAAGCAUCCUCGUUUCACUAGCUUGAUGGUUGUGGAUGAAGAAAAUUUAACAGACAUGAAAUGGGUCCAAACAAAGAUUGACUUGGACCAACAUAUUAUAAUUGUUGAAGUAGAUGAAACUCAGAUGGAAUCACCUGACAAGUUCGUGGAGGAUUAUAUUUACAAUCUUAGCAAAACAAGCCUCGAUAGAUCAAAGCCACUUUGGGACCUUCACAUUAUCAAUGUCAAAACUCGUCAAGCAGAGUCCGUGGUUGUGUUUAGGGUUCACCAUUCUCUUGGCGAUGGCACCUCCCUUAUUUCUCUUCUACUCGCGUGCACUCGCCAAACUGCUGAUGAUCUCAAACUUCCUACCAUUCCCACCAAGAAAAGGAGGCCUACUCCAUCAGGUUAUUCAGCAAAGGAAGGGUUGUGGCGAUUGUUGGGAAAAUUUUGGCUUUUCAUAGUAAUGUUUGUGAAUACUGCAGUGGAUGUUUUCAUGUUCAUCAUCACAACCAUGUUCCUCAAGGAUACCAAAACACCAAUCAGCGCCCCGCCUGAUUUCGAGUCUAAUAAAGCUAGACGAAUCGUUCAUCGGAUAAUCAGUCUGGAUGAUUUGAAGUUUGUGAAAAAUGCUAUGAAUGUUACUAUAAAUGAUGUUGCCCUAGGAUUUAACACAAGCUGGUUUAUCUCAAUAUCUUAAUAGGAGAUAUGCUAUUGGUGGAAAAGACAAGGGAGCAACAGAGAGAAGCAAUAAUCUUCCCAAUGGCAUUCGACUUCGGUCUUUUCUUUGUUUUAACCUAAGAUCCUCUGCAGGAAUUGAAGAUCUAGCCAAUAUGAUGGAGAAUGGAAGCAAAGGGAAGCGGGGUUGGGGAAAUUGGUUUGGUUACGCGUUGUUACCAUUCAAGAUUGCACUACGAGAUAAUCCUUUAGACUAUGUGAAAGAAGCUAAAGCGACAGUUGAUCGCAAGAAGCGAUCCUUUGAAGCUUUGUCCACUUUGAUCAUGGCCGAAUUACUUAUCAAGUUUUUUGGGAUCAAGGUAGCUACAGAGGUGACUUGGAAAGGAUUCUCAAAUUCAACAAUAUGUUUCAGCAACUUGGUUGGACCACAAGAGGAAAUUGGGUUCUGUGGCUACCCCAUUACUUAUUUUGCUCCAUGUACUUAUGGGCAGCCAAGUGCAUUGAUGAUCAAUUUCCAAAGCUAUAUCAAUAAGAUGAUCAUCGUCAUAGCUGUUGAUGAAAUUGCUAUACCUGAUCCACAUCAAUUGCUUGAUGAUUUUGAAGAUUCUCUUAAUCUCAUAAAGAAUGCUGUCAUAGAAAAAGGGCUUGUUAAGAAUCUGAAAUGAUCAAGAAAUCCAACCAAAUUAUGAAGCUAAGGUUGUAUUAGUAACUCUACUAUAUUAAGAACUUUUUCCAAUAAUUCACCAGCACUUGUGUACUGCUGCAGUAAUUCUCUUUCCUAAUGCUUUCAACUUGAUAUUGAAGGACAUGGUACUUUGUAGACUACAUUUUAAUUAAUGGUAUUCAUAUCAAUGUAUUACAAUUUAUGG